GCNUCGUCUGUGAAAUUCCGGGGCUUAACUUCGGGGUGGCAGGCGAUACGGNCAUAACUAGAGUGCUGUAGGGGAGACUGGAAUUCCUGGUGUAGCGGUGGAAUGCGCAGAUAUCAGGAGGAACACCGAUGGCGAAGGCAGGUCUCUGGGCAGUAACUGACGCUGAGGAGCGAAAGCAUGGGGAGCGAACAGGAUUAGAUACCCUGGUAGUCCAUGCUGUAAACGGUGGGCGUUAGGUGUGGGGACCGGUAUGGUUUCUGUGCCGUAGCUAACGCAUUAAGCGCCCCGCCUGGGGAGUACGGCCGCAAGGCUAAAACUCAGAGGAAUUGACGGGGGCCCGCACAAGCGGCGGAGCAUGUGGAUUAAUUCGAUGCAACGCGAAGAACCUUACCUGGGUUUGACAUGCACCAGACGGUUGUAGAGAUACGUACCUCCCUUUGUGGUUGGUGUGCAGGUGGUGCAUGGUUGUCGUCAGCUCGUGUCGUGAGAUGUUGGGUUAANNNNNNNNANCGAGCGCAACCCUUGUCUUAUGUUGCCAGCACUUUGGGUGGGGACUCAUGAGAGACUGCCGGGGUUAACUCGGAGGAAGGUGGGGAUGACGUCAAAUCAUCAUGCCCUUUAUGCCCAGGGCUUCACACAUGCUACAAUGGUUAGUACAACGCGCAGCAAACCUGUGAGGGUGAGCGAAUCGCUGAAAGCUAAUCUCAGUUCGGAUUGGGGUCUGCAACUCGACCCCAUGAAGUCGGAGUCGCUAGUAAUCGCAGAUCAGCAAUGCUGCGGUGAAUACGUUCCCGGGCCUUGU
rnacentral:rRNA from 1 species